rnacentral:tmRNA from 1 species
GGGGGUGACUGGCUUCGACAGGUGCCGGUCGGUCCCGGGAGAGCGAGCCGAGCAGCUCUGGUCACCUCGCAAAACUGCCCAGAGAACCUCAAUAGGUGCCAACGAACCCGUUGCCCUGGCGGCCUAGCUAAGACCGCCUGUCCGCCCUCGCCCGCCUGGGGUGGGGGAUCGGGCAUCGCAUCCAGGCUCCACCCGCCGGCCACCGCCACGGGCCGGUGGGGAAACCCCAGUGGCGUACGGCCGCCGAUGUGUCCGGUCUCGGGGCACGGCGGCCCGACAACUCACCGAGGCCUACGCUCGUAGCGCUCCCGGAGUCGAGGCAUCUGGACCCGGGUUCAAUUCCCGGCACCUCCACGU